CAGAGACUGCACUUGUGCUGCAAUGCAGGAUGCAUUCCUCAGGAAGGAGAAUUCCAGGGACUGGUCAUGAGCAUUGCUCACACUAAGGUUGACAGCUCAGAAGGAACAAUGAGUACUGUUUUCUUGAAAAGAUAAAUCCUUAAAUGAAG
rnacentral:lncRNA from 12 species